AUGUUUAAACAAAAACUUUGAAGGCCAAAGUAAAGAAAGUUUCCAUGUGAACAUCAGCUGAACAUGGGUCAGGAGGUCCCAAGGUGAACCUCAUUCAGAUUUCCCCUGUGAGGUCUCCUAUGUUGCCCCCAGCUGAGUAAAGAGAGUCAGGUUCAAAUCCCUGAACUGGGGAUGUGGAGCUACACCGUGUGGGGUCCGAUGUGAAAACACAAAAGAAUCUGGAGAAACUGGUGGAGGGGUCCGGGGAGGGUUCUUGUUUUUUUGUGAAGUGCAGGGCAACCUGGAAUGGGUUCAUCCCAUGAUAGUUGCCCAGGUCCUGAGCAGCAUGUGCUCUUGCUGGCCCUUGAAAGUCAAGGGGAGAAGGUGUUAGUCUCAUCUCAGGCUCACAGCAGGUCUCCGAGUUGAACCUCUGAGA
rnacentral:ncRNA from 1 species